UCCGCUCACAAGCGCGAGUACUCAUUUGCUCGGCCGCCGCUGGUGCGAACAGAGAGCCCCGCCCCCCUUCGUCAGAUUUCGAGCGCAAACCGCAAACCCUCCCACCUUCCCCUCCUCCUCGUCGGCGUCGCCCGCUUCCCUUCGCCGGAGGCUCGCGUCCCGGCCCGCCCCCCGCCGCCUCCGCCGUCGAUUAGAUAAUACCAAGCUUGUCCUCGCUGUGCCUGUUAUGAUGGUCAUCUGUAUUCCGUGGCUGACCAGUUAAUUUAUUUAGUGUACUGCUCUUUAAGUAGUAUAUCUCAGCUCCUGAACGUAUUUUGUACCUUGAAGUUGGUUAUUCUGGACACUACAAUUAACUGAAGGCAGUAUUGCAAUAAGGUGCACCAUCCCUAUUGUGUAUUAUGAGAAAAAGAAUGGAGAGAAAGAAACAGUCUUUCUUGUUACUGGGACUUUCUGCAUGAGAGUGGUUAGGAGUUUGGAUAUUGAUUAUUUAUACUUGUUAUCAUGGACUGCAACAAAGAGGAAGCUAUUAGAGCAAAAGCUCUGGCUGAAAGAAAAUUGCUGGAGAAGGAUUUUGUUGGUGCAAAAAAAUUGAUCAUCAAAGCACAACAACUUUUCUCAGAGAUUGACAAUAUUUCACAAAUGUUAACUGUCUGUGACGUUCAUUGUGCUGCUGGAACGAAGGUUAAUGGAGAGCUUGACUGGUAUGGGAUACUUCAGGUACCUGCUUUCACGAAUGAUGACACACUAAUAAAGAAGCAAUACCGUAAGCUUGCGCUUUUGCUGCAUCCCGACAAGAACAAGUUUGCAGGUGCAGAGGCAGCAUUUAAAUUAGUGGGAGAAGCAAACAUGACGCUUACAGACAGCUCAAAACGUUCUGCCUAUGACAUGAAAAGGAGAGUCUCAGUCAGAGUUGGUGCAGCAAGACCAUCCCCUUAUCAGCAGUCAAGGAGAGCUGCUCCUGUUAGACCUGUGAAUCUUCAUCAGCCCUCAAAUUCUGCAGGGACACCACAAACAUUCUGGACCAUGUGUUCAAGUUGUGGCAUGAGAUAUCAGUACUACACUGCAAUGUUGAAGAAAGCUAUCCGUUGUCAGAGUUGUUUGAAGCCUUUUAUUGCACAUGAUAUAAAUGAGCAAGCUGUUCCUUCUGGGGCAGAUCGACAGUAUGCUGGGGUAAAAAAUGCAGGGGCACCACAGAAUUUUGCAGGCCGGCAGACAAAUGCCCCAGGUCAACAGGCUUGGAAUAAUGCCACUCCAGGGGUUCAUGCUAAUUAUGGAUCUCAUAAGGCAGCUGCAAAUACAAACAAAAAGAAGGGGGAAGGUGGUAAUAGCGCUAGUGCUGCAGGUGUACCAAAUGAGAAAGCAAAAUUUGCUCGGACUUCAAAAGGUUCAUCAGCUGCAGGAUUGAAAAGGGGCAGGAGAGCCGUGUCUGAAUCUAGUGAUUCGGAGACCACCACUGAUAGUGAAGAAGAGAUCACUGUAGAUGGUGCUGCUGCAAAUAAUGCAAAGCCGAGUCAACACAGCCGCAGGUCAAGUAGGCAGAAGCAAGAAGUUAAGUAUAAGGAAGAGAGUGAAGAUGAAGAUAUUGGUGAUGAUGGUAAUGAUGACGACGAUAAUAAUGUCAGUUCUUCCAAUUUCAAAAGGUUAAGGAAAGGUGGUGUGUUGCAUGGUGAUGAUCAAAGCAGCACAUCAAAGUUUGAUAUGAAGACAAAACUGGGCAUAAUGGUCACACAAAUGGUCUUAAUCACGAGAAAGAAGAAACAUCCAAUUCUGUCAGCAGCAAUGGUCUAGACCCAAACCUUGAUGAUGCUUCAGAUGAGGAAAAAUUUAGCUGCGCAGAUCCUGAAUUUUUUAACUUCGACGAACUUCGAGAUGUAAGUCAGUUUAGACCCAACCAGAUCUGGGCAGUCUAUGAUAGUCAUGGCUGCAUGCCAAGAUUUUAUGCUCGAAUUACAAAGGUAAAAAUGGCCCCAAAGUUUAUAGUACACUUUGUUUGGCUGGAAUUGGAUCCCACAAAUGAAGCAGAGCUGGCAUGGUCACGUGCAGAACUGCCUGUUGCUUGUGGACAUUUUAAGCAUGGAACAUCAGACACAGCUAAAGAAGCUAAUAUGUUCUCCCAAACUAUUUCCUGUGCGAAAAGCAAGACAAAAAACUCGUAUGAGAUAUAUCCUAGGAAAGAUGAAGUUUGGGCCCUGCACAAGGGAUGGGACAUCGGCUGGAGUUCGGAUGCUGACAGCCACACAGAUUUUGAGUAUGAACUUGUUCAAGUUGUCACGGAUUUCACAACCAGCACUAGCAUCAUUGUCGUGCCACUUGUAAAAAUAAAAGGCUUUGUUAGCUUAUUUAUGCAGUCGAAAGAGGCAACUCCAUGUGUGAUACCUCAGGAUAACACACUAAGAUUUUCUCAUUGCGUCCCUCAUCAUUUCAUGCGUGGGACUGAAAGAGAAGGCAUUCCAGAAGGAGCUAUUGAACUUGAUCCUGCAGCGCUUCCCCUUAACUUGGAAGAGGCUUUUGCUUCUGUUGUUCUGGAAAGCACAGUAAAAGGCAAGGGGGUUGAUACCAAGUAUGCUGGUUCAUCCAGUGGAAUUAAUUCUGGCAAGGGGUCUGAGAAGGUCGGGGAGGUGCCACAUGCUACAUGUAUGAAUACAGGGCUCUUUACAAGAGCAACAAAGGAAGAGAACAAAGAGCAUCAUACUCCAUCUACUGUAGAAGGUGUGGAUGUUAAUGAGGAAUCUGAUGGCAUUGUCCAGGAUGAAUUUGAAUGUCCUGACUCAGAAUUCUAUGAAUUUACAGAAAUAAGGUCGAUUCAGAAGUUCGAACCUGGGCAGAUCUGGGCUCUCUAUAGUGAUAUGGACAAGUUCCCCAAUUACUAUGCCAUCAUAAAGAAAGUCGAUCUCAAGAAUAAUAAAGUACAAGUGAAAUGGCUUGAUCUCUGUCCUCGGGGAGAGGAGGAGAAAAGAUUGACUGGUAAAGAAGAUCGGACUCUUGCGUGUGGAAUCUUUAAGGUUUCCUCUGGCAAUGAUGGUACUACGACUUACACUGGUACAGAGUCAUUUUCUCAUCCUGUGGUUGCUAGAUCAACUGGUAGAAAAAAUGAAUAUGAAAUAAUCCCUCGCUUCCGUGACAUCUGGGCCGUUUACAAGAACUGGAGGGCUGGAUGGACUGCAGAAGACUUUAAAAACUGUGAGUAUGAAUUUGUGGAGAUUGUUGGCCAGACUGAUUCGUCCAUACAAGUUCAGCCUUUAGGAAAGGUGGAUGGCUACAGGGCAGUAUUUCGAAGAGGGGCAGAUGUGAAAACAAUAAGCAAGGAUGAGUACCCAAAGUUCGCUCACCACGUCCCUUGCUUCCAUCUGACAAAUGAAAAAGCAGGCAAGCUUCGAGGCUGUUUCGAGCUCGAUCCUUAUUCAGUGCCAGAGGUGUUUCUCUACACCAGUUAAAUGUGGGAUGGCCUUAUUUGCGGUGCAUCUUUAGGAGCUGAAGUUGUGAGAACCAAGGUUCUAUCCAAGUUGGGCAGUCCACGUCUCUAACAUUGUUGCAUUGGGCUUUUUGGCUGUUUCGAAUACAUCCAUGAAGGUUUGAACUUGUCAGGCGAAUGGGGGUCUUUUGCAUCCAUCAGCGACGGUUUGCAAGCGGAUCAAUCUUCCUGCAGCAGCUUUCUAUAGCGAGUUAGCAGCUUAGUAGCAUUUUGCUGUGUCUAGUCCCUAGUGUCACCCCUCAUUUCCUGCUCGUGUACUCGAAAAUGUUGGAACCAUGUAAUUUAACCCUGCUAGGCUAAUUUGAUGGGAUCUUGGUAUC